ACACUCCCUCGAAAAACUACCCGCUGCUCCGAUCCAGUGUCCACGAUUGGUCGCCGGAAAGGCGGGGCCUGGAGUAGGCGGAAAGCUUUCUUUUGGUUUGGCACGCCCCUUACCAGCUUCUGCGCAUGCCUCCUGCUACUAGGCAACCGUUCAGCGUUUUAGUGCACGUGAUUGGCUUCCCCAACCCCAGGCUGGAAGAUCGUGCAAAAGACAGGUAGUUCCGCUGGGCUCUCUGCGUACUUCCGAACCACGGAGUCCAAGGAAGGCUCGAACUGGAGACUAGGUCUCCAAAGCACAAAAUGUCAGAGUUGGAAGAGACCACCUGGGCUAAACCCCUUAUUUUACAGACGGAAACUGAAGGUCGGUGAAGAAAAUGACUUGCCUAAGGUGAAGAAAACGAAGCCUAAAGAGGACAAAUGACGACUGACUUACUGAGGUUACAUAUUUAGUAGCAGAUUGUGGAUUUAAGGAACACCACCUUUCCUGUCCUACAGAAGAAACCACUCCUGCCCCAGGGUCCUGUCCAAGGCACAGAUCCACCACCUACUUCCCUAGAACCCUCAGACAGAGAUUCCACACGAAAAAGUAUUGGCAAAUUUGCUUUAUUAGGGAAUGAGUUGCCCCUGUUCCAUAGCCCCCAGGCCAUUCAUAGUUCAUAACAUAAAAACAUACACGCAGGCCUGUUGGUUUCAUGAACAAAAAGGGAUUGUGUACCAUGACUAUGGUAGACUAUAUUCUUCCAAACCCCAAAUUCCAGAAAUACAGUCUUAACAAAGUAUAUUCCUUCAGCUAAGCUUUGUUAAAAAUGUAUUUUCUUGUCUUGAAAUGAGGACUGUUCCAGACAAUACAGGUCAUAUUGUUGAACUAA